AUGGCAGAUGCCAUUGUCGGUCCACUGCUGAGCAAGCUGCAGGCGGUAGCGGUGACGGAGGGGAAGGCCCUAGCCGCCGUGCGCGAGGUCGCAUUUGCAGCCGAGGAUGCCAUCGACCAUUUCUUCCUGCAGGUCGACCUCUCCCGCUUCGGUCAUAACUGGCGUCAGGCGGCCGCCAUGUUCUUCUCUAACUUUGGCACACAGAUCCGGGUAAGGUACAUCCUCUCCCAGAAGAUCAAGUCCAUGAACAUGCGGCUAGAGGAUAUUGUCGACAACAGUGCCAAGUACCACAAUGAUGGUGAAAGUACAAAAGUGAUCACUUGGAGGGCAUCACGCGCCAUCCCUCUGGUCCGCCAAAACUGGUAA
rnacentral:rRNA from 1 species